rnacentral:rRNA from 1 species
AGGACGAACGCUGGCGGCGUGCUUAACACAUGCAAGUCGAGCGGAAAGGCCCUUCGGGGUACUCGAGCGGCGAACGGGUGAGUAACACGUGAGCAAUCUGCCCUUAGCUUCGGGAUAGCUCCGGGAAACCGGAAUUAAUACCGAAUAUGACUUCGGCCGACAUCGGCCUUGGUGGAAAGUUUUUCGGCUAGGGAUGAACUCGCGGCCUAUCAGCUUGUUGGUGGGGUAAUGGCCUACCAAGGCGACGACGGGUAGCCGGCCUGAGAGGGCGACCGGCCACACUGGGACUGAGACACGGCCCAGACUCCUACGGGAGGCAGCAGUGGGGAAUAUUGCGCAAUGGGCGAAAGCCUGACGCAGCGACGCCGCGUGGGGGAUGAAGGCCUUCGGGUUGUAACCCCUUUCAGCAGGGACGAAGCGAAGUGACGGUACCUGCAGAAGAAGCGCCGGCUAACUACGUGCCAGCAGCCGC